GACGGGGGGUCCAAGCGUUGUUCGGAAUCAUUGGGCGUAAAGCGGGCGUAGGUGGCCUUGCAAGUCAGGAGUGAAAGCCCUGGGCUCAACCCAGGAAGUGCUCUUGAUACUGCUUGGCUUGAAUGUGGGAGAGGAUAGUAGAAUUCCUGGUGUAGUGGUGAAAUACGUAGAUAUCAGGAGGAAUACCGGUGGCGAAGGCGGCUAUCUGGCCCAACAUUGACACUGAGGCCCAAAAGCGUGGGGAUCAAACAGG
rnacentral:rRNA from 1 species